AUCGCUUCUCGGCCUUUUGGCUAAGAUCAAGUGUACAGUUCUAACUAUUUUACAAACAAUGAACUUCC
rnacentral:sRNA from 1 species